ensembl:snoRNA
CGCUAAUGAGGUAUUAGUGUCUAUUAUCUGAAUUUACUAUUGAUGUUUAACAUAAUACUUUGACUUCUACAAUUACACUGAGACCCU